GCGGGGGUACCCAAGCGGCCAAAGGGGCUACCUUGAGGGGGUAGUGCGUUAGCACCCUUUUGCGGUGACGAUUCGCUUCGCGAGUUCGAAUCUCGUCUCCCGCA
rnacentral:tRNA from 1 species